UCUUAUGGUUGAGAAGAGAAAGUGGUUUCUUGAGAUGGAGCCUACUCCUGGUGUAAAUGCUGUGAA
rnacentral:pre_miRNA from 1 species